rnacentral:rRNA from 1 species
AACGAACGCUGGCGGCAUGCCUAACACAUGCAAGUCGAACGAGACCUUCGGGUCUUGUGUCGCCCGGGUUCGUCGCGCGUCGGAACCUUCCCUUAGGUUCAGCAUAACUCUCCGACAGGGAUGCUAUUACCGGAUAAUGUCUUCGAACCAAAGAUAUAUCGCCUUUGGUUGUGCGCUCGUUGAAUUAGCUUGUUGGUAGGGUUAAAGCCUACGAAGGCGCCGAUCCAUAGCUGGGUUGGGAGGAAGAUCAGCGACACUGGGAGUGAGACCCGGCCCAGACUCCUACGGGAGGCAGGAGUGGGGAAUAUUGGAAAAUGGGCGAAAGGCUGAUCGAGCAAGGCCGCGAGAGUUAUGAAGUCCUGAGGGUUGUAAAGCUCUUUUAACCGGGAUGAUAAUGACAGUACCGGGAGAAUAAGCUCCGGCUAACUCCGUG